AUGAACGCUAGCUACAGGCUUAACACAUGCAAGUCGAGGGGCAGCAUGGUCUUAGCUUGCUAAGACUGAUGGCGACCGGCGCACGGGUGAGUAACACGUAUCCAACCUGCCGUCUACUCUUGGACAGCCUUCUGAAAGGAAGAUUAAUACAAGAUGGCAUCAUGAGUCCGCAUGUUCACAUGAUUAAAGGUAUUCCGGUAGACGAUGGGGAUGCGUUCCAUUAGAUAGUAGGCGGGGUAACGGCCCACCUAGUCUUCGAUGGAUAGGGGUUCUGAGAGGAAGGUCCCCCACAUUGGAACUGAGACACGGUCCAAACUCCUACGGGAGGCAGCAGUGAGGAAUAUUGGUCAAUGGGCGAGAGCCUGAACCAGCCAAGUAGCGUGAAGGAUGACUGCCCUAUGGGUUGUAAACUUCUUUUAUAAAGGAAUAAAGUCGGGUAUGGAUACCCGUUUGCAUGUACUUUAUGAAUAAGGAUCGGCUAACUCCGUGCCAGCAGCCGCGGUAAUACGGAGGAUCCGAGCGUUAUCCGGAUUUAUUGGGUUUAAAGGGAGCGUAGAUGGAUGUUUAAGUCAGUUGUGAAAGUUUGCGGCUCAACCGUAAAAUUGCAGUUGAUACUGGAUAUCUUGAGUGCAGUUGAGGCAGGCGGAAUUCCUGGUGUAGCGGUGAAAUGCUUAGAUAUCACGAAGAACUCCGAUUGCGAAGGCAGCCUGCUAAGCUGCAACUGACAUUGAGGCUCGAAAGUGUGGGUAUCAAACAGGAUUAGAUACCCUGGUAGUCCACACGGUAAACGAUGAAUACUCGCUGUUUGCGAUAUACUGCAAGCGGCCAAGCGAAAGCGUUAAGUAUUCCACCUGGGGAGUACGCCGGCAACGGUGAAACUCAAAGGAAUUGACGGGGGCCCGCACAAGCGGAGGAACAUGUGGUUUAAUUCGAUGAUACGCGAGGAACCUUACCCGGGCUUAAAUUGCAGAUGAAUUACGGUGAAAGCCGUAAGCCGCAAGGCAUCUGUGAAGGUGCUGCAUGGUUGUCGUCAGCUCGUGCCGUGAGGUGUCGGCUUAAGUGCCAUAACGAGCGCAACCCUUGUUGUCAGUUACUAACAGGUUCCGCUGAGGACUCUGACAAGACUGCCAUCGUAAGAUGUGAGGAAGGUGGGGAUGACGUCAAAUCAGCACGGCCCUUACGUCCGGGGCUACACACGUGUUACAAUGGGGGGUACAGAGGGCCGCUACCACGCGAGUGGAUGCCAAUCCCCAAAACCUCUCUCAGUUCGGACUGGAGUCUGCAACCCGACUCCACGAAGCUGGAUUCGCUAGUAAUCGCGCAUCAGCCACGGCGCGGUGAAUACGUUCCCGGGCCUUGUACACACCGCCCGUCAAGCCAUGGGAGCCGGGGGUACCUGAAGUGCGUAACCGCGAGGAGCGCCCUAGGGUAAAACUGGUGACUGGGGCU
rnacentral:rRNA from 1 species